rnacentral:rRNA from 1 species
UGCAAGUCGAACGGCAGCACGGAGCUUGCUCUGGUGGCGAGUGGCGAACGGGUGAGUAAUAUAUCGGAACGUACCCUAGAGUGGGGGAUAACGUAGCGAAAGUUACGCUAAUACCGCAUACGAUCUAAGGAUGAAAGUGGGGGAUCGCAAGACCUCAUGCUCGUGGAGCGGCCGAUAUCUGAUUAGCUAGUUGGUAGGGUAAAAGCCUACCAAGGCAUCGAUCAGUAGCUGGUCUGAGAGGACGACCAGCCACACUGGAACUGAGACACGGUCCAGACUCCUACGGGAGGCAGCAGUGGGGAAUUUUGGACAAUGGGCGAAAGCCUGAUCCAGCAAUGCCGCGUGAGUGAAGAAGGCCUUCGGGUUGUAAAGCUCUUUUGUCAGGGAAGAAACGGUGAGAGCUAAUAUCUCUUGCUAAUGACGGUACCUGAAGAAUAAGCACCGGCUAACUACGUGCCAGCAGCCGCGGUAAUACGUAGGGUACAAGCGUUAAUCGGAAUUACUGGGCGUAAAGCGUGCGCAGGCGGUUUUGUAAGUCUGAUGUGAAAUCCCCGGGCUCAACCU